CACGCACGUACGAUUCUUUCCAUUCCCACGUGAUUGAAUUUCCCAGAUCUCUUCCUUUGCAAUUGAUCGUUUGCCUUCUCUUUUUUUCUUUUAUUUUUUUGUAAACAAAGCCCUCGUUUUCUUAGUCACAGUGCAGAACCACCAUUGAUGUUACCCAAUCAAACCACCAUGGAAGUGUCUUUUGAAAUCAAUAACCUCUUCAAGCUUCUAGUGAGUUUUUUUUUUUUUUGAACUGAGUGGAAUUUCUAUCUAUACACUUAUCAUCAUCAUAAUCAUCAGCUCAUAAUAUAAGAGGGAGUUAGGGUUUCUACAGUAACAUGGCUCUCUUUUUUGGUUGCCCCUUCUGCCCUUGCUUUUGUCAAGUUUGCAUGGACGUUGUUGUUUAUGUCACUUUGGACUAUUUGAGUAAAUUCCACUCGAUUUUAUCAUCUCUCAGUCUCUCUCCUGUCUCUUUUUCUCUCUGGACAAUGACGGUGAGAAACCCUACGGGAGAUGGGCUACGCGAUGUGAGUUGAGGGGCUUUGAAGAUGAAUCAAUAGGGACUGACUACUAAAGACAAUCAAAACGGCGGGAAAUGCGAGCUAGGCAAUGGGAAAGUCGACAAUGAGACCAAACUGCACAUAUUUCUUCUCUGUCUAUCGCUAUUUCCAAGGAUCGAUUUCAUUGAUAAAAUGCUUCUUGCAAUUGGAUCCACUGAUAAAUCGGUUUAGAAAAGUUAAGAGUUUUGGUGGUAAUGUGGUGGUCAGAGUGAUUAAAUAAGAACAAUGAACUCUUCUUUCUUUGAAGGUGUUGUUUGUAUGGAAACAGAUUUUUACUUGAAUUUUUUAGGUGACACCUGUGCAUUCUGCUAUUUAUUCUGAUGGAUAAAUUUCACUUUUGGCAAAUUGUAACUGAUAAAUGUCAGGUGCUCAUAUUACAGAGGACGAUGCAAGAUCAGAGCACCUUGUGACAAAAUAUUUGAUUGCAAGCAAUGCCAUAAUGAAUCCAAAGGGCUUUUAAGUAUUUUGUUUGGUUUUGUUUGUUUUUUUGUAGUUGAUUAAAAUAAUAUUACUCUGCUAUUGCUAAUUGACACCAGAGAGUUCAAACAGAUUUUAAAUUUAUUUUUAGCACGGGAAAGGUUAAAUAUGAAAAUAUUCAGGUGACUAGCAAACAAGAUAUAUAUAUGUAUGAAGUCCACCAUUUAGCAAUGAUGUUAUUGGACGAGGGACCAAGUUUCGUUAUUACUUGAACAUAGUGUUAGACCAUAACCUAUUAACCAUAACCUAUCAGCGGGGUGGGUUUGUUGGUCUCGCUAACCCAUCAAAAAGGUCGAGAUUUGA